UACGAAGGGGGCUAGCGUUGCUCGGAAUCACUGGGCGUAAAGGGUGCGUAGGCGGGUUUUUAAGUCAGGGGUGAAAUCCUGGAGCUCAACCCCAGAACUGCCUUUGAUACUGAAGAUCUUGAGUCCGGGAGAGGUGAGUGGAACUGCGAGUGUAGAGGUGAAAUUCGUAGAUAUUCGCAAGAACACCAGUGGCGAAGGCGGCUCACUGGCCCGGUACUGACGCUGAGGCACGAAAGCGUGGGGAGCAAACAGG
rnacentral:rRNA from 1 species